GACGAACGCUGGCGGCGUGCUUAACACAUGCCAGUCGAACGGAAAGGCCCUGCUUGCAGGGUACUCGAGUGGCGAACGGGUGAGUAACACGUGGGUGAUCUGCCCUGCACUUCGGGAUAAGCCUGGGAAACUGGGUCUAAUACCGGAUAGGAGCCAUUUUUAGUGUGAUGGUUGGAAAGUUUUUUCGGUGUAGGAUGAGCUCGCGGCCUAUCAGCUUGGUGGUGGGGUAAUGGCCUACCAAGGCGGCGACGGGUAGCCGGCCUGAGAGGGUGGACGGCCACAUUGGGACUGGGAUACGGCCCAGACUCCUACGGGAGGCAGGAGUGGGGAAUAUUGCACAAUGGGCGCAAGCCUGAUGCAGCGACGCCGCGUGGGGGAUGACGGCCUUCGGGUUGUAAACUCCUUUCGCUAGGGACGAAGCUUUUUGUGACGGUACCUAGAUAAGAAGCACCGGCUAACUACGUG
rnacentral:rRNA from 1 species